GAUCCUGGCUCAGGACGAACGCUGGCAGCGUGCCUAACACAUGCAAGUCGAGCGGAGACAGUGAGUAGCUUGCUAUGAACUGUUUUAGCGGCGGACGGGUGAGUAACGCGUGAGCAACCUUUCCCAGACAGGGGAAUAACACACCGAAAGGUGUACUAAUACCGCAUAAGACCACGGGAUCACAUGGUUCUGGGGUAAAAGAAUUAUCGGUUUGGGGUGGGCUCGCGUCCGAUUAGGUAGUUGGUGAGGUAACGG
rnacentral:rRNA from 1 species